UCAUCAGAAUCCUGGAGCAUUUUUUAAAAUGACGGUGGAUCCCAGAAAUUAAUAAAGCCGUGAUUAAGUAAAUAAGAGCAUCUGCGGUGGGGUUCACGACCUCUUUGAAGUGCAGAAUAUCCUGUAAUAAACUGUGUCUCUCUAUCCCCCUUCCCCCCAUUACUGGACCGGGAAGGGAGCAGGGAUACCCAUGGAGCACCUCCCUAGCCCUACCUCCAACACCACCCCCAGGAGAGCCAACUGGGCCAAAAUCAAUUGCAUCCUAAAAUCAGAGUGGGAAGGUAGUAAUUAUUAUUUUGAGGGGUGUAUCAAAAUCCAUCUUCAUAAAAGUCCUGGUUGGUGUAUGAGAGUGAUGACGCACAUUCGUGUAUUUCAUUGGCCUCUGAGAUUGCAGCAGCAAUUAGGGGGCGCUAAGGAUCCCACAAAUGCUUUUUAUGUACAUAGUUAGAAACUUUGAACUAGGUAACAGGGUUGCUUUCUUCCUAACCCUUUUGUGGAAAAAGUGGGAGGGAAACAAGUUUGUUAACCAGCAUUUGGAUAAAUGAGUGUUUGCAGUGAUUUAA